rnacentral:rRNA from 1 species
AGAGUUUGAUCAUGGCUCAGGACGAACGCUGGCGGCAUGUCUAACCUAUGCAAGUCGAACGGGAAUACCUAAAGGUUUUCGGACCUAAGGGUAUUCGAGUGGCGAACGGGUGAGUAACGCGUGAGGAACCAACCUUCAACAGGGGGAUAACACUGGGAAACCAGUGCUAAUACCGCAUAAGACCACGGUAUCGCAUGGUACAGGGGUCAAAGGAUUUAUUCGGUUGAAGACGGUCUCGCGUCCCAUUAGGUAGUAGGCGGGGUAACGGCCCACCUAGCCAACGAUGGGUAGCCGAGCUGAGAGGCUGAUCGGCCACACUGGGACUGAGAUACGGCCCAGACUCCUACGGGAGGCAGCAAGGAAGAAUAUUGGGCAAUGGGGGAAACCCUGACCCAGCAAUGCCGCGUGAAGGAAGAAGGCCUUCGGGUUGUAAACUUCUGUGACGGGGGACGAAAAAAAUGACGGUACCCCGAGAGGAAGCCCCGGCAAACUACGUGCCAGCAGCCGCGGUAAUACGUAGGGGGCGAGCGUUGUCCGGAAUUACUGGGCGUAAAGAGCGCGUAGGCGGUGAUGUAAGUCGUUUGUGAAAGACCCGGGCUCAACCUGGGGGUUGCAGACGAAACUAUGUCACUUGAGUACGGUAGAGGGAAGUGGAAUUCCUAGUGUAGCGGUGAAAUGCGCAGAUAUUAGGAGGAACACCAGUGGCGAAGGCGACUUUCUGGGCCGCAACUGACGCUGAGGCGCGAAAGCGUGGGGAGCAAACAGGAUUAGAUACCCUAGUAGUCC